GACGAACGCUGGCGGCGUGCUUAACACAUGCAAGUCGAACGAAGUGGCGAACGGGUGAGUAACGCGGAAUCAACCUGCCCUUCAGAGGGGGACAACAGUUGGAAACGACUGCUAAUACCGCAUACUGAAGGAGGGGAUUGCGUCUGAAUAGCUAGUUGGAGGGGUAACGGCCCACCAAGGCGAGGAUCAGUAGCCGGUCUUGGAGGGUGAACGGCCACAUUGGGACUGGGACACGGCCCAGACUCCUACGGGAGGCAGCCGUGGGGAAUCUUCCGCAAUGGACGACAGUCUGACGGAGCAAAGCCGCGGGAGUUAUGACGGCCUUCGGGUUGUAAAGCUCUGUUAAUCGGGGCGCGGUACCGGAAGAGAAAGCCACGGCUAACUACGUGCCAGCAGCCGCGGUAAUAC
rnacentral:rRNA from 1 species